ACGCUCGACACCUACGGGAGGCAGCAGUUGGGAAUAUUGGACAAUGGAGGAAACUCUGAUCCAGUGACGCCGCGUGAAGGAAGAAGGUCUUCGGAUUGUAAACUUAUUUUGUCAGGGAAGAAAAAUGACUGUACCUGAAGAAAAAGCACCGGCUAACUACGUGCCAUCAGCCGCGGUAAUCUGAGCGGGCUGGCAAGGC
rnacentral:rRNA from 1 species